rnacentral:snRNA from 1 species
GUGCUCGCUUUGGCAGCACACAUACUAAAAUUGAAACGAUACAGAGAUUAGUAUGGCCCCUGCACAAGGAUGACAUGCAAAUUCGUGAAGCGUUCCAUUAAAAA